AUUCCAGCUCCAAUAGCGUAUAUUUAAGUUGUUGCAGUUAAAAAGCUCGUAGUUGGAUUUCGGGCCCAGGAGACCGGUCCGCCGUUUCGGUGUGCACUGGUUAGCUCGGUCUUUCUGCCGGGGACACGCUCCGUCUUAAUUGCCGGACGUGGAGUCGGCGAUGUUACUUUGAAAAAAUUAGAGUGUUCAAAGCAGGCUUACGCUCUGAAUACUAUAGCAUGGAAUAACACGAUAGGACUCCGGGCCUAUUUUGUUGGUCUUCGGGACCGGAGUAAUGAUUAAGAGGGACAGUUGGGGGCAUUCGUAUUACGGUGUCAGAGGUGAAAUUCUUGGAUUUCCGUAAGACGAACUUCUGCGAAAGCAUUUGCCAAGGAUGUUUUCAUUG
rnacentral:rRNA from 1 species